ACCUUCAAAAUUCUUGCUCCAUCUCCAAGUCGUCCUGUGAACCAAAAGCAGCUGAAAUCAUAGAAACAAUCUUCCUCUGCGAAUCUAAUAUCAUCUCCAUCCGCUUAUUCUCCAUCUCCAUUCUCCACUUCUCAGUCUCCUUCAUCAUCUCUAUCUUUUUCCUCUCCAUCCCCACUAUUCUCUCCGCAAAUGCCCUUAUUUCCCCUGCCAAUCCCAUUUCCACCCCUUUCCUUCUAUCUCCUCUUCCUCCUUCUUCAUCAUCGUCAUCGUCAUCGUCAUCGUCGUACUCCUCCUCUACCAUUUCCUCUCUCUUCCUCUUAUUCACCGCCUCUCGCGAAAACCCAGAAUUACUCCCCGCAAACCGAUUGACGAUGGUGGGUUUUCGCAGUAUGUAAUUAAUACUCCGCGACUUACUUCUAUACCCGUAAUCCUCUUCCUCUUCUUCUUCCUCGUCGACUUCCACCUCUGCUUCCUCAUUGUCUUCAUCAUCUUCAUCACCAGUGUCAUUAGGAGGUAGAAGAGCCAAAGGCCGUGCAGAGAUAGGCAUCGGUCCCCUUUCCAACGAUUCCAUGAGGUCAAAGUACUGCCAGGAACAAGCGCCGGUGAGAGAGAUACGCCGUCUCUCCUCGCGGAACCGUUUUCGGAGCUUCUCCAUCUUGUGGCGGCACUGAAUGACAGUUUUUGCUGGGUGAUUGUAUUCGUAGCCGCAGCGGGCGGCGACGGUUACAGCCACCUCUUCCCACUGGCUGGCCUUAAGCUGUCCUCGUUUUAAAGAGUACCAUUUUUCCUGGUAAGCUUGGAUUAGGUGGACUGUUUCUUGGUGGGUCCAGGGAACGGGUUGCGGUUUCUUGGUGGAGAGAGGUCUGGGGUUUGAGGGUGGUGACUGUGAUGGUGGUUCUGGUGGCGGAGGUGGAGAGGGAGAUGGGGAUGGUGUGGACAUUGUGGGAGUGAGGAUUAGGUUUUGCUGAGUUUAGGCAUGUGGUUUUUUGUCGUUUGGGUUGGGUGGUGCUAGUGGUGGUGGCGACGGUGGAGGUGGCGGUGGUUGUUGGUAUUAGGUGGGAAGUGUGCCAGCUAAGCUUGGUCCCAGAGGGGUAGGUUAAAUGGACCCGGAACGGGACUCGAGCCCGAAACCUAACCCGGUAUCUGUUUUGAGUCACCCGAGAUGUAACGUUCUGUUUUUUGGACCUUCCACAAGUUCCAUUAUUCAGGCCUAGCACAGGCUUUCUCUUUUGGUUAGGAUUUGCUUU
rnacentral:misc_RNA from 1 species